rnacentral:rRNA from 1 species
GACGAACGCUGGCGGCGUGCUUAACACAUGCAAGUCGAACGGUAAGGCCCUUCGGGGUACACGAGUGGCGAACGGGUGAGUAACACGUGGGUGAUCUGCCCUGCACUUCGGGAUAAGCCUGGGAAACUGGGUCUAAUACCGGAUAGGACCACUGCCUGCAUGGGUGGUGGUGGAAAGCUUUUGCGGUGUGGGAUGGGCCCGCGGCCUAUCAGCUUGUUGGUGGGGUGAUGGCCUACCAAGGCGACGACGGGUAGCCGGCCUGAGAGGGUGACCGGCCACACUGGACUGAGAUACGGCCCAGACUCCUACGGGAGGCAGCAGUGGGGAAUAUUGCACAAGGGGCGCAAGCCUGAUGCAGCGACGCCGCGUGAGGGAUGACGGCCUUCGGGUUGUAAACCUCUUUCAGCACCGACGAAGCGCAAGUGACGGUAGGUGCAGAAGAAGGACCGGCCAACUACGUGCCAGCAGCCGCCGUAA